GAGGGUAUAGUUCAAGUGGUAGAGCACAUGCUUAGCAUACAUAAGGUCUUGAGUUCAAUUCCUAGUACCUCCU
rnacentral:tRNA from 1 species